CAAGAUAGUGAGGUCCUAGAGACCUUACGAAUCUACGGUUGGGCAAACCUUAAGAUUUUUGUCACUUCAUUUUCGCUGUUAGAAGCACAUUUGCUUUCUUGACAGAAUAUAGACUAAUCAAGUAAAUCAAAAACAUUUAGAUGUUUUUGAAUUGCGAAAAGCUGAUUAAAAUAUUAUAGCGAGUAACAUUCGAUAACCUAUCGAAUGUACUACAAAAAAACUGAUUUUAAACAGCGCUUGAGAAGGGGAUAUUCAACCGCAGUCAAUUCGUGAAUUUCACGAGCUGACAGUCGGUUGAGUAUCUCAGUAUACAAGACCAAUUUUAGGCAAGCUGUCCUUCGGGACAGUUUAAUGUACACUUAUUAGAUCA
rnacentral:misc_RNA from 1 species